rnacentral:rRNA from 1 species
UACAGAGGUCUCAAGCGUUGUUCGGAUUCAUUGGGCGUAAAGGGUGCGUAGGCGGCGCGGUAAGUCGGGUGUGAAAUCUCGGAGCUUAACUCCGAAACUGCAUUGGAAACUACCUCGCUAGAGGGUUGGAGGGGGGACUGGAAUGCUUGGUGUAGCAGUGAAAUGCGUAGAUAUCAAGCGGAACACCAGUGGCGAAGGCGAGUCCCUGGACAACUCCUGACACUGAGGCACGAAAGCUAGGGGAGCAAACAGG